CAGCGCCACGUCAGCAGCCACGUCAGCGGCCCAGUCAGCAGCCCUGGCCAACCAGGACCUGCCGCGUGGCAAGGCCACGCCGACCCGGGAACGGGCCACGUGGGCGAUCCGCGUGCGCGCGAUCGGAUGGCCCAGAUGCAUCCCCGCGCACACGGAUGGCCCAGAUCAAGCGUGCGCAUGGACGGCCAAGAUGCACGCGCACGGACGGCCCAGAUGCACACGCACGAACGGCUCAGAUUCAAUCAAGUACGGACGGCCCAGAUUUAAUCGCGAUGGACGGCCCAGAUUAAAUCAAGAUGGACGGCUGUGAUUAAAAGGCAAAGGGUAUAAAUAAACCCCCCACACCUGACCACAAAAACCCUAGCCGCCAGCC
rnacentral:lncRNA from 1 species